ACUGAACGCUGGCGGCAUGCCUUACACAUGCAAGUCGAACGGUAACAGGUCUUCGGAUGCUGACGAGUGGCGAACGGGUGAGUAAUACAUCGGAACGUGCCUAGUAGUGGGGGAUAACUACUCGAAAGAGUGGCUAAUACCGCAUGAGAUCUACGGAUGAAAGCAGGGGAUCGCAAGACCUUGUGCUACUAGAGCGGGCGAUGGCAGAUUAGGUAGUUGGUGGGAUAGAAGCUCACCAAGCCGACGAUCUGUAGCUGGUCUGAGAGGACGAUCAGCCACACUGGGACUGAGACACGGCCCAGGCUCCUACGGGAGGCAGCAGUGGGGAAUUUUGGACAAUGGGCGCAAGCCUGAUCCAGCAAUGCCGCGUGCAGGAUGAAGGCCUUCGGGUUGUAAACUGCUUUUGUACGGAACGAAAAGCCCCGGGUUAAUACCCUGGGGUCAUGACGGUACCGUAAGAAUAAGCACCGGCUAACUUCGUGCCAGCCGCCGCCGUAA
rnacentral:rRNA from 1 species